rnacentral:rRNA from 1 species
UCGACUUGGAGGUUGUGCCCUUGAGGUGUGGCUUCCGGAGCUAACGCGUUAAGUCGACCGCCUGGGGAGUACGGCCGCAAGGUUAAAACUCAAAUGAAUUGACGGGGGCCCGCACAAGCGGUGGAGCAUGUGGUUUAAUUCGAUGCAACGCGAAGAACCUUACCUGGUCUUGACAUCCACGGAAGUUUUCAGAGAUGAGAAUGUGCCUUCGGGAACCGUGAGACAGGUGCUGCAUGGCUGUCGUCAGCUCGUGUUGUGAAAUGUUGGGUUAAGUCCCGCAACGAGCGCAACCCUUAUCCUUUGUUGCCAGCGGUCCGGCCGGGAACUCAAAGGAGACUGCCAGUGAUAAACUGGAGGAAGGUGGGGAUGACGUCAAGUCAUCAUGGCCCUUACGACCAGGGCUACACACGUGCUACAAUGGCGCAUACAAAGAGAAGCGACCUCGCGAGAGCAAGCGGACCUCAUAAAGUGCGUCGUAGUCCGGAUUGGAGUCUGCAACUCGACUCCAUGAAGUCGGAAUCGCUAGUAAUCGUGGAUCAGAAUGCCACGGUGAAUACGUUCCCGGGCCUUGUACACACC